rnacentral:rRNA from 1 species
AUGUGUGGCAUACGGCUCAGUAACACGUAGUCAACAUGCCCAGGGGACGUGGAUAACCUCGGGAAACUGAGGAUAAACCGCGAUAGGUCACUGCUUCUGGAAUGGGCAAUGACCCAAACCUAUAUGGCCCCUGGAUUGGACUGCGGCCGAUCAGGCUGUUGGUGAGGUAAUGGCCCACCAAACCUGUAACCGGUACGGGCUCUGAGAGGAGGAGCCCGGAGAUGGGCACUGAGACAAGGGCCCAGGCCCUAUGGGGCGCAGCAGGCGCGAAACCUCUGCAAUAGGCGAAAGCUUGACAGGGCUACUCUGAGUGAUUUCCGUUAAGGAGAUCUUUUGGCACCUCUAAAAAUGGUGCAGAAUAAGGGGUGGGCAAGUCUGGUGUCAGCCGCCGCGGUAAUACCAGCACCCCGAGUGGUCGGGACGUUUAUUGGGCCUAAAGCAUCCGUAGCCGGUUCUACAAGUCUUCCGUUAAAUCCACCUGCUUAACAGAUGGGCUGCGGAAGAUACUAUGGAGCUAGGAGGCGGGAGAGGCAAGCGGUACUCGAUGGGUAGGGGUAAAAUCCGUUGAUCCAUUGAAGACCACCAGUGGCGAAGGCGGCUUGCCAGAACGCGCUCGACGGUGAGGGAUGAAAGCUGGGGGAGCAAACCGGAUUAGAUACCCGGGUAGUCCCAGCUGUAAACGAUGCAGACUCGGUGAUGAGUUGGCUUUAUGCCAACUCAGUGCCGCAGGGAAGCCGUUAAGUUUGCCGCCUGGGGAGUACGGUCGCAAGACUGAAACUUAAAGGAAUUGGCGGGGGAGCACCACAAGGGGUGAAGCCUGCGGUUCAAUUGGAUUCAACGCCGGA